AGCGAAUUAGAUUAAUAUCCAGUCACUUUGAAUUGCAACCCGCUGACGCUCGUAUAAAUCGUCCCUUUUCUUUUUGCUGGCGUGACGCAACUGAGCCACUAAGCGCGCGGCAAUUCUAAACCGCAAAUCUUUACGUCGUGCUGAUUUUUUUUCUUCUUUCCUUUUGUGUGUUUGUGUGUGUCUAUUUUGUUGGGAAAGGGUUGUAUAAUAACAGACGGCUACUUGAAACCGCGAUGACAAAAAAACAGCAGCAAAGGGGGUGGUCAGAAUUCAAGAAGAAGAAAAAAAAUCCAAGGCCUCCCUCUCGUGUUCAUCGCGUAUAGCUACUUCAUGCUGUCGUUUGAUCGUUCAUUGAAAUCAAGAUGUUCUACAGCUUUGGGCAAAAAAUGAUGGCCGAUUGGCUGUCAUGCGUGCCGGGAAAAAACCAGUCAGCCAACUGCUGGCAUCUGUAUACAACAUUACACAUACAAUUGCAACAGUUGGUCGACAUGUUGUAACUUCUUUUUUUUUUUUUGAAUAUUCAUUUCGGCUACGGUCGAAUUGUUUUAUAACGACGUAGCGAUUACAACUGUCAAAAAUACGAAAAGAAAAAAUUCCUGCAUUUUAUACCCAACCGCUCUGGUUAUCCCAAAAAAAGAAGUCCCCGACAGAGAAUCGUGAUCGAUGUUCGUCUCUUGCACACCACAAAGAUUAGAUAACGGCCUGACCUUAUUUCUAUUAUACUUCGUUUUCUUAUUGUUUUUCUUUUGAUUAUUCUAUUGUUUUUGUUUUCCUGGCCUUUAGACAGAGAGACAAGCCAGAAAACAAAUGAAAUUAUUCGAAGGCGUCACUCAAGUCUGUUCACCUACAAACUUUUUCAUCAGAAAGGGUGUGGCCGCACUUGGUGAAGAGUGGGCCCCACUCUGUUUCGCAGCACCUAUUACGUAGUUCUCAUUAACAAUCGAUUGCGUACAACAUCCAAUUCAUUCUCAAUGUGUCAACGUGCUGAAAACAAAAGGAGAAAUGUCACGUGUGUCUGAUUGCAAUGUUAGUGCUACUCAGGCUUUACUUUAACGAAACUUCUUUCUUUUUUGUUUUCGAUUUUUCGUUGAACGAAUGCGCACACAAGGGCGUGAGUGGAAUUCUGAUUUCGCCGAGUAGCCAUGGAAUGACUGAUAGCUUUUUUUUUUCUUCUUCUUCUGGUGCUUUCUACUUUUCAAUUUGCUAUAUUUGCUUUCACGCUGAAAUUCGAAACGAAAACAACAAGUUAGACGUGCAGUAUCUCUGCUAAGGUCACAGCGGACGAUUACGUGUACAGCGUUACACGCAGAGAUUGGCAACCACACCCAACAUUUUUGGCAGCGUGCCCAAAGAGCGGUUGACUCGGAAUCGUGCUGCGCAUUUCAAAACGAGAUUGAUAUGGAAAAUCCAAGCGAAACCGAAAAAAAACAAAAACAAUGCUGGGGACGCUCUGGAUGGGUUACAACGCGGAGAACCUAACAAUAUUGACGCAACCAUCGUAAUACAUUUACGCGCGUCUAGAAUGUCGUCCUUUUUUGUAAACGCCUUUUUUUUUGCGCAUUGAAAUCCCCCCUUGUUUUUUUUCAAUUCAAAGUGCGUCAUUGCUAAAUGAAAUUUGACUUGGCUUUGAAGAUACGCUAAAAUGAAAUUGGGGAAAACAAAAAUCAGGUGUUUCAUUAUGAUGGCAUUGAGUUAUUCAGCCCAUAAUUGUUUUUCAUUUUCAAAAAGGACAAUUUCAAAAAAAGGACGCAAAAAGAAGUCGUGAAGCAACUAGUCUAACGGUAAACCAUUCAGAGGAACAAAAGACGUCAUGUUUAGGGCAACAUCAAUACGUUUAGAAUAAAAAAAGAGCGUCCAAUUAAAAGACGAACAUCUCGGCCUAAUUAUUUCUUUCAAUUUUUAACUCUGAAAGUCUGACAGUUUGAGCGCAAAAGGAAGAUCGUUCUUUGCAACAAGAAUGAAGGGAGGAAAGUCCACUUCCAGUUUAUUUUAAACAUGAAUAAUAUAAGAUAAAAAUAUUGAAAAUCUUUUGAGAGGGAGCUAUUGAGGCAGGAGGCGUUGAAAGAAUCCGGUUAUUCCAUGUCAAUGAACUAAAAUUGUCCUUUUCAAUCAUCCCGGAUUGUCUCAAGCAAACGGAGGUUAUAGAAGAAAAGGGAAUCAAAGACAAACACAAACAACUUGAAAUAAGGAAAAAAUUGAAUUAGAUAAAGAGAUUACGUUCGUCCCCAGGAAUCGACCACGUCAAGUUCAACGACCGUCCGCCGGAAACGACGACCCACUGCCCAAACGCACCAUCACAAACCAUUUGAAUUGAUUCGAUUGUUUUCUUGAAAACAAAAACAAAAAACAUUUGCUUCUGUGUAGCUUCUGCUUGUAUCACACACGUAAUACAAUCUGAUGUACCACAUU